UACGGAGGAUGCAAGCGUUAUUCGGAAUGAUUGGGCGUAAAGCGUCCGCAGGUGGCAAUGUAAGUCUGCUGUCAAAGCGUCUGGCUCAACCAGAUAAAGGCAGUGGAAACUACAUAGCUAGAGUAAGGUAGGGGUAGAGGGAAUUCCUGGUGUAGCGGUGAAAUGCGUAGAGAUCAGGAAGAACACCGGUGGCGAAAGCGCUCUGCUGGACCUUAACUGACACUGAGGGACGAAAGCUAGGGGAGCGAAUGGG
rnacentral:rRNA from 1 species